UCUUGUGUUUGUAACGCUUUAGCUUGACUUCUUGUUAAAGGCCCUCUAUGAGAUUCCAAAGUUUCAUCCUUGUCCUUGAGUAGAUUGAGCUUCCAAGGACGCUAUCAUUCCUCUCUUCUUGAAAAAAAAAACUCGCCCUCGAAUUUUGACAUUGAUCUUCAAGAACUAGGAUUCCCUCUUUUUAUUUGCUUUACUGACUCUGAAACCAAAUAAUAUUGAAUUUGGAAAAUACUUAUAAGCAAUAACACCUUCUUCUUUUGGGGGGGGGGGGGUUGAUUUUUUUGGCUCAAGAUCCUCUCAAGAUUAUCAUGAUUGGAAUCUUGAUAUGCAUAUGCUCGGAUACCACUUGAUAACACUAUGAUAGGGGAUUAAGAAUUAUUAGGAAAAAUCAUGAAAUAUGUGGAAGCUAAAAGAAAAUAAAGAAACGAAAAAGACGGAAGCUAAAGAUAGAUUGAAUUCAAGAAGUCUAUGCUUGAAGUUGAAUCCUAGCAACAACAAUUAGCUAAUAAAGAACUAACCACCUUUGAUAGAGAAUUAAAAAUAAGAGAUAUAUUAUAAAACCCGACCCAUUAGAAUAGCAAGAACAACAAUAAGCCUAAACUUAUUACAUUUCUUGAAUACCUAGAAGUAAUCUAAGAUUUCAAAAAUAGGUUAAUCUUACCACCUUAAGUUGAUUCUUGAAGGUUGAAGAAUAAAUUCAAGAGUAACCACACACAAUGGUGAAAAUUCUCACAUUUCUUUAUUGCUAUUAUC
rnacentral:lncRNA from 1 species